UUCCGCUGAUCAGAAGCGGACAAGCAAACAGCGGAUGUGCAGUUCCUCUCUUCGCCGAACCCGGUUUUCCCUUUCUGCGGAGCAGCGCGACCGAUUUCCGGUUUCCCCGCCGCAACCACCGUUACCCCCCCGCCCCAAUCCCCGGCGACUCCAGCGACGUCACCGGUUCAGCUCCUGACCUUUCGGCGAACCGCGGAACCACAGGCGACCCGUUCGACGUCAUCACUCCCCGCCCAGAUGUCGCUGUGACAUCACCCCGCACGUGCCUGCGCUGGCACCGCGUCAUCCUGGCGAGCGCCUCCUCGCGGCGGAAGGAGAUCCUGGGGUUCGCUGUGCGAGACAUGUCGGCGGGGUUUCACGUGAGUGACACUUGGUCCCCAUGGGAUUGACAGCGACUAGCGGAGUGGCAUGUGGACGUAGCUUCAGGUGACCUCACUGACCCCGCCCCUGACUCCACCCCUUGUGAUGACCCCACCACUGACCCACAGGCCUUGGAGGGGCUGAUCCUGGAGAAGCCAAAGGACCAGGAGGAUGCCAUGGGGGUGCUGUACAGGCUGAGCAGGAAGCAGAGCAGCACAGCGUCAUCAUGAGGGUAGCCAUCUUCACCUGGGGCAUCCACGGAGGCCCUGCCCAGGAAGUGACUUUCUCUCCACUGUAGGAGGAGCUGAUCCACGACUACUUGGACACCAGCACACCAGCGAAGGAUGGUGAGGCCCCGCCCCCUGCCUGCACAUGACACUGCCACGCCCUGUCUGAGAUUCUACCAAGUGGUUCUGGGAUAAUAGAUUGAGGGGAUGGGGGCUGCAUACAUUUGCAUGAGUUUGCAUAUUUUGGGCUCAUUUGAAUAAAUUUGUAUAAGUUAACACCAGUUCUCUCAGGACAAAUUUGCAUAGAUUUGUGUGUGACGUCCUAGGCAAAUUAGCAUAAAUCAAAAUGGUGUCAUAGUUGUGCUCUGCAUGCGUUUUUUGUGGGUUUUGCAUGAAUUUGCAUACAUCGGCUUCUUUGAAGUAGGUUUGCAUGAGCUGAGAUGACGUUGGUGGCUUCCUCUGUGAAUUUGCAUAAAUUUGCAUAAACCUGAAUGAUAACACAGUGAUGCUCUGGGCGGAUUUGCAUGGCGUCAUGCUUUCUGUCUGUAUGACUUUGCAUAAAUUUGCAUAAAUCUUAAUGGGCAAGGGGUAAGCUUCCGUGGCUGUCAGCUGCACCAGCGAAGUGACGUCACAUGACCUCAUUUGCAUGACCAGAGUCGCUUUGCAUAAAUUAACAUAAACUAGUGAUCGAUCCCCCUUGAGUGCUGUGACCUCGACGUGACCCCUGACCUACCGCUGACCCCGAUGUGACCCCACAACCCCAAGGUGAUCCCUGACCUCUCCAUGACCCCCGCAACCCCGAAGUAACCAUGUAAUCCCACCAUGACCCUGACCCAACAGGGACAAGGCCUGGGGCCUACGCCAUCCAUGUGUGGGGAGUGAUGCUGGUAGAGGGCAAAUUGGUGACGUCAUCAAUGCAGCGGGCUUCCCACUCAACCACUUUAGCCGCAAGCUUGCAAGGGCAGCUGCCAGAGACAGGAAGUGACAUCGCUGUGGAGAGGGCAGCAGGAAGUGAGGUCAGAGUGGGGGUGAUGGGAAGUAAUGUCAUGGGCUCAGGAAGUGAUGUGCUGCUGCUCUACAUGUGUACGUAUAUGCCUGGUCUGUGAUGCUGCAGAAUAUGUGUACAUGUGUGCUGGGUGUGGGAUGUACAUGUAUGCCUCAUGUUUGCCUGGUGUGUGAUGCCACUUUACAUGUGAUCCAGGUGUGAGAUGAUGCUGUACAUGUAUACAUGUGUACCUGGUGUGUGAUGCCAGUGCAUUGUGACUGGUGUGUGAUGCGGAUGCACAUGUGUGCUUGUUGUGUGAAGCUACCUCACAUGUACACAUGUGUGCCAGGUGAGUGAUGCUGUUUCCCCUGUGUAUAUGUAUGCCUGUUGUCUGAUGCUGCUUCACAUGUGUUCAUAUGUGUCUGUUGGGGGAUGCCGCUAGAUAUGUCUACCUUGUUUUUAAACUACAUUACAUGUGUGACUAGUGUUUGAUGCGACUCUACAUGUGUACACGUGUGCCUUGUGUAUGAUGCUGCUGCAAAUGUGUACACGUAUGUCUCGUGUGUGCUGCUGCAGCACAUGUAUACAUGUGUGCCUGAGUGUGCUGCUGCUGUACAUGUGAACAUGUGUGCCUUGUAUGUGAGGCUGCUGCACAUGUGUAUAUGUGUGCCUGGUAUGUGAGCUUGCUGUACGUGUGUACAUGUGUGGCUGGUGUGUGAUGACAGUGUACAUGUGUCCAUGUGUACCUGGUGUGUGUUGCUGCUGCCAUGUGCACAUGUGUGCCUGUUGUGUCAUGCUGCUGUGCAUGUGUACAUGUGUGCCUGAGUGUGCUGCUGCACAUGUGUACAUGUGUGCCUGGUAUGUGAUGUUGCUGCACAUGUGUUCAUGUUUGCUUGGUCUGUGAUGCCUCUGUACAUGUGUGCCUGUUGUAUGAUGCCACUUUCCAUGUGUGCUAGGUAUGUGAUACCACUGUACAUGUGUGCUUGGUGUGUGAUUCUGCUGCACAUGUGUACAUACAUGUCUUGUGUGUGAUUUUGCUGCAUAUGUGUACAUGUGUGCCUUUUGUUUGAUGCUGCUAUACAUGUGGGCCUGGUGUGUGAUGCCACUUUACAGGUGUGCCGGGUGUGUGAUGUGACUGUAUAUGUGUCCAUGUAUGCCUGGUGUGUGAUUCUGAUGCACAUGUGUACAUUUGUGCCUGGUGUGUGCUGCUUCUGCAAAUGUGUACUUGUGAGCCUGGUGUGUGAUUCCAUUGUACAUGUGUUUGUGAUGCUUCUGCACCUGUGUUCCUGGUGUGUGAUGCUGCUUCACAUGUGUACAUGUGUGUCAUGUGUGUGAUGACAGUGUCCGUGUGUCCGUGUGUGUGUGUGUGUGUGUGUGUGUGUGUGUGUGUGUGUGNNNNNNNNNNNNNNNGUGUGUGAGGCUGCUGAACAUGUGUACAAGUGUGACUGGAGUGUGUGGCUGCAGCACAUGUGUACAUGUGUGUUUGUUGUGUGAUGCUGCUACACAUGUGUACAUGUUUGCCUGAUGUUUGAUGCUGCUGUUCAUGUGUGCCUGUCCUGUGUUGCCACUUUAUGUGUGCUCAGUGUGUUGACAUUAUAUUUGUGUACAUGUGGGCCUGGUGUGUGCUGCUGCAGCACAUGUGUACAUGUGUGCCUGGUGUGUAAGGCUGCUGCACAUGCAUACAUGUGUUUCUGAUAUCUAAAGCUGCUGCAGAUGUGUACAUGUGUGCCUGGUGUGAGAUGCCACUGUACAUCUGUACCUGCUAUGUGAUGCCAUAGCAGGUACAUGUGUGCUUGUUGUGUGUUGCUGCUGCACAGUUUUUCAUGUAUGCUGCUGCUGUACAUGUGUACAUGUGUGCCAGUUGUGUGAUGGUGCUGCACAUGUGUAUGUAUAUAAGGUGUGUGAUGCUGCUAUACAUUUGUGCCUGGUGUGUGAUGCCACUAUACAUGUGUCAAUGUGUGCCUGGUGUGUGACGCUGCUGCACAUGUGUGCCGUGUGUGUGACAACAGUGUACAUAUUUUCAUGUGUACCUGGUAUGUGAUGCUGCUACACAUGUGUACUAGUGUGACUGGUGUGUAUUGUUGCUGCACAUGUAUUUUAACUGUCUUUUUACAAGGAAAACAAGACAGUUUCGCCCAAUAGAUGUGAAUUUCUAAAUACAUUUAAAAGGUCUUUUUUGAAUGUUGUUUCCUUUAGUGGGCUACACUGUAAGUCAUUACUUUGACGUAUUUUUAUAUGCACGUCUUAAAUAUAACUGUACAAUGCGAUAAAGUACCAAAAAUUGUUUUAACACAGACCCUGCAAUAAAAAGAGUUAAUCAUGAAUGUCAAAAGUGUUAAUUUUAGUGUUCACAUGUAUUUAUUUAUUAGACAUAUUAUACUAUAACUGUCUUUUUCCAUAGAAUACAAGACAGUUUUACUCAAUAAAUGAGAAUUUCUAAAUGUGA
ensembl:antisense Rab10os RAB10, member RAS oncogene family, opposite strand